AUCAGAGACGGCUUCGGGAGGGUCAUUCUCCUCCUUUACGGGGAUGAUCCCCACAUUCGCGGGGGAACCGACGCAGCGCGUUACCAACUAUUUUGACAUGAUCGAAGAGAUCGCUACUUUAGCAUCGUGGACAGUGCGACAGAAAUUAGGAAUCGCUAAAUGCAUGCUAUCUGGUAUUGCAAAAGAGUAUGCGUGGCAUGAUUUUAAAAUGAAAGGUAUACAAGAUUACAAGAACUUCAAAACGCAGAUGUUAAAGCAAUUUGCGAAGUUACCAUACACAAUACUACUACAACACUUUCACGCCUGCACUCAGCGCCAAGG
rnacentral:lncRNA from 1 species